GCUGCACACUAUUAAAGCUCAGGGUAGAGGCCAGUUCUGGCCAAUGAACUUCUGAGUGUCGGAAGUGUGCUAUAUUAAGGCAGGAUUUUCGCUAACACCAGUAGAGUUCACCUCAAUGACUGGAGUUGAUAGUACUCGCUGCCACAUUC